rnacentral:rRNA from 1 species
UAAUGGUGACGAAGAAUGGGUGAUAAAUUUUCCCAACGCCAGUGAAAAAUUAUGAAUAAGAACUCAAAAAUGAGGAAUAUGGGUUGACAAUUACAGAUGGUAAGUGUAGUGCCAGCACCAGCGGUUAAACUAACUCCUGCAUCCAAUCUUUUCGUAGGUGAGUAACAGUUUAAUUAAGGACAAUACAGAUUGCUGCCUUUGGUGCAAUAUGGCAGGUCGAGUGUGCUAUUGGUCUUAGAAACUUAAAUCUUAGAAGUCUAUUGAGGAGACCAGGAGUGGUUGCCUGUUAUUAAUGAUGUACAGAAAUCCUCCGGUAAGUACGAGCGGAAAACGAGCUUAAAAACCAAAAGGCUUGGCGGUGUGCUAUUUUCGUUCAGGGGAACUUGGCGGUUAAACCGAUAAUCCACGGAAUAUCUUACCUUUUCUAUUCUUGCUAUACCGCCGUUGCCAGUUGGUUACUCAAAUUUCUGGCUAAGAAAAUGAUUUAGCCUCUCUGCUUUGGCAGAAGGCUUAUCACUUCCAAAUUCAGGUAGACGUGGUGGUUUUGAAAAGGGCUUGUUGAGUUACAUUGUUAUAUUGUAGGGAAUGGAGAAUGGAAAUGCUCCAGGAACAAUCAUAUUUGGACUUGAUAGUAAGCUUUACGUGAUAAAGGAUCGCUGAAUAUUGACACUUGUGCGCGCACAAAUUGCCCGGCGCCCCCUAAUAUACCAAAAUAGGGGUAAGCCGUAACACGGUAAUGCUACUAGAAAGUGGUGUUAACUAAGU